GUGCUCUCUUUGGUGGCACAUGUACUAAAAUUAGCACAAUACAGAGAGGCUUGGCGUGGCCUCUGUGAAGGAAGACAAGCAAAUUCACAAAGCGUCCCACACUUAA
rnacentral:snRNA from 1 species